rnacentral:rRNA from 1 species
GACGAACGCUGGCGGCGUGCUUAACACAUGCAAGUCGAACGGUGAAGCGCCUUCCUUUUUGGUGGGUGUGGAUGAGUGGCGAACUGGUGAGUAACACGUGAGUAACCUGCCCCCUUCUUCUGGAUAACCGCAUGAAAGUGUUGCUAAUACGGGAUAUUCUGGGUCUGUCGCAUGAUGGGUCUGGGAAAGAUAUUGUUUCGGUGGGGGAUGGGCUCGCGGCCUAUCAGCUUGUUGGUGGGGUGAUGGCCUACCAAGGCGGUGACGGGUAGCCGGCCUGAGAGGGUGGACGGUCACACUGGGACUGAGACACGGCCCAGACUCCUAAGGGAGGCAGCAGUGGGGAAUAUGGCACAAUGGGCGCAAGCCUGAUGCAGCGACGCCGCGUGAGGGAUGGAGGCCUUCGGGUUGUGAACCUCUUUCGCCAGUGAAGCAGGCCUGCCUCGUUUGUGGGUGGGUUGACGGUAGCUGGAUAAGAAGCGCCGGCUAACUACGUG